ACUCCUACGGGAGGCAGCAGUGGGGAAUAUUGGACAAUGGGCGAAAGCCUGAUCCAGCCAUGCCGCGUGUGUGAAGAAGGUCUUCGGAUUGUAAAGCACUUUAAGUUGGGAGGAAGGGCAGUAAGUUAAUACCUUGCUGUUUUGACGUUACCAACAGAAUAAGCACCGGCUAACUUCGUGCCAGCAGCCGCGGUAAUACGAAGGGUGCAAGCGUUAAUCGGAAUUACUGGGCGUAAAGCGCGCGUAGGUGGUUCAGCAAGUUGGAUGUGAAAUCCCCCGGGCUCAACCUGGGGAACUGCAUCCAAAACUACUGAGCUAGAGUACGGUAGAGGUGUGGAAUUUCCUGUGUAGCGGUGAAAUGCGUAGAUAUAGGAAGGAACACCAGUGGCGAAGGCGACCACCUGGACUGAUACUGACACUGAGGUGCGAAAGCGUGGGAGCAAACAGGAUUAGAUACCCC
rnacentral:rRNA from 1 species